rnacentral:rRNA from 1 species
GACGAACCGAGCGAACGUUGUUCGGAAUCACUGGGCUUAAAGGGCGCGUAGGCGGCGAUUCAAGUCUGGGGUGAAAGCCUUCGGCUUAACCGGAGAAGUGCCUUGGAUACUGGAUCGCUCGAGGGGGAUAGGGGCAUGCGGAACUUCCGGUGGAGCGGUGAAAUGCGUAGAUAUCGGAAGGAACGCCGGUGGCGAAAGCGGCAUGCUGGGUCCCUUCUGACGCUGAGGCGCGAAAGCCAGGGGAGCAAACGGG